CCUACGGGUGGCAGCAGUGGGGAAUAUUGGGCAAUGGGCGCAAGCCUGACCCAGCAACGCCGCGUGAAGGAAGAAGGCUUUCGGGUUGUAAACUUCUUUUGUCAGGGACGAAGAAAGUGACGGUACCUACCGAAUAAGCCACUGCUAACUACGUGCCAGCAGCCGCGGUAAUACGUAGGUGGCAAGCGUUAUCCGGAUUUACUGGGUGUAAAGGGCGUGUAGGCGGGACUGCAAGUCAGAUGUGAAAACCACGGGCUCAACCUGUGGCCUGCUUUUGUAACUGUAGUUCUUGAGUACUGGAGAGGCAGACGGAAUUCCUAGUGUAGCGGUGAAAUGCGUAGAUAUUAGGAGGAACACCAGUGGCGAAGGCGGUCUGCUGGACAGCAACUGACGCUGAGGCGCGAAAGCGUGGGGAGCAAACAGGAUUAGAUACCCCUGUAGUC
rnacentral:rRNA from 1 species